GUCCAAUUGGUCUAGAGGUAUGAUUCCUGCUUCGGGCUGUAUAGAGGUUAACCUUAACCCUACACGAGAAUUUGCAGGAGGUCCCGGGUUCGAUUCCCGGAUUGGACC